rnacentral:lncRNA from 1 species
AAUGUGGUCUAUCACUUAAACAAUGUAUUUCUGAGCAGAAGUUUGCUGGUGUUUGAAUGAUGUUUCUAUUGCUAUUUAAGCUUUCAGGAAGAUGAAAUAUUUUACCCUGAGUGAUGGAAACUGAGAAGCUGUUAGAGUGAAAAGAUGAGAGUAUGGAAAACAUACACUGUGAAAUUCCAUGUUUGACCUGACUGUUGAAAUAGAGCUUGAGUUUUGAAAACAAACACACAUAAAAACAACAGAAACUCCUACAAAGGAGUUUUGAUGUGUUAUAAAUGCCUAUAUCACUAAUGCAAAGGUAUUUUCUCAUUUUUUAAAUGUUUGCAGCAAGUUUUUGUAGUUCCUCUCUGAGCUGGCCAUCGUGCAAAGUAUGACACUAAAGGAAAGCUUGUAGAGAACAGUGUGAUGGAGGAAAUAAUGACUUGUGAGUCUAGAAACCUACCACAGGAGCUAGAGCUUCAUGAUUUCUAUCAAAAGGUUCUGGCUUUGGUACUAAAGCAAGCAGGCAGCAUUCUUUCACUCAGGCCUUUGGGAUAUGUACUGUGGAAAACAGUUCUUCUGAUACAGAAGGUUUUCUGAUAUGAAAACCCUUACAUGUGGUCACUGUGGGAAUAAGGACUAACUCUCAGAAUUUUCCACCCUGGGCUUAGUAACUUGCAAGCUUGGUGUAGUCACAGGAAAGGAAGACAUUCCCAGGUAUGUUUUCAAAACCAUGACGGGUCAUGAGCUCUUCUCCUACCCUUGCUCUGUUCAUCUCCAGGAGAACUCAUAAGGGCCCCCAAAGCCAGAUCCCUGAUUAUAUCUAUUCUUCAUGAGCAAUAGAAUGGUGUCCUUGCUGGCUGGUCUGACAUCCUUCACCACUUUUUCCACUGCAAUUCUAUAUCCUUGAGGAGAGAGAGAGACUGAGACUCUUGCCAGGAAUAGGAAACUCCACUAACAUGCUCAGUAGCUGUUAAGCUUUUUAAGAUCAUGUUAUGAUUUCAUAUGUUAAAGAGGAAUCUUUAAUGUUGGGACGGUCUGUUGGUGGCUUAAUGAUUAAUUUGGACAGAUGUGUUCAAGCAGAACAAUGAACCUCAUUGUAAAUAUCAAAGAGUUUCAGCUGUUUUAACAGUUUGUCGGGUUUUGAAGGAUGCUUUUUCAGCAAUAGUAACAUUAAAUAAAAAUCUGCGGGCCAUCCCCAUGCUGAAGCCAUUAAAAUGCAUGAAGGUUGACACUGCACCUUUCCUAGAUGCUGGUUUUGGGAUGGGUGUUUUUCCAUUAUCCACCAAGUCCUGCAGUAGUUGGUAUUCUCAGAUCAGCACUGAAGUUCUGUGACAGGUGACCUGCUAAGCCCAAAGCCAUUGUAGUAAAGCUGUCAAAAUGUACAGCAAAUUUGGACUCCCUACAAGCAGAAUUUGAGACCUGUCAUCACACCAAAACCUUUGGUUCUUUAAGUCACUUUCUAUAAUGUACAGCUCAAUGAACAACGUAUUAAUGUUCUGUUUUCUAAAUGUUGUUUUGACAUUUAAAUGUUCAAAACCAUCUUGAGUUAAUUAAAUGUAGAAGCUUCUAAGUGAAUUGAUUGUGCUGACAACUCAUCAUCUAAUUACCCAUAAUUAGGAGUAAAACAACAUUAGCUAAUAGAAAUAAUAAAUAAUUGUGAUAGGGAAAAAUAUUCAAAUAUGCUGUCCAGCAGCAUGGCAAUUUUUCUCCCAAGCAGAAUUCAUACAUGAAAGCGCUGAAUAUAGUUGUAUUUAAUCACACAUUGUACAGGCAUAGGCAUUAUUCACUGAAUGGUUUAGGUUAAUAAGAGCUGGCCUGAAAAUAGAAGAUACUAAAUGGUGUUUUAGGCUGAUGAAUUCCAGAAGCUGGGGUGUGUUUGUUAGAAAAAAAAAAUAAAGACAAAAUAGAUCAACAAGGGGUUUGAAAAGACAGAAAGAUAUUUUUGCAUCAUCUACAAAUCUUUUCAACAACAUUAAAAGAAGCAGAAAAAACCAAACUAACUAAGAAGUCAAUUUGCUUUGUCUUUUAUCAAUGUUCUUUGCCAGUUGUUAGCUGGAAUAUUUUAAACACAGAGAUACAAGGUGUGGGCUAGUUUAAACAGUUCCCUUACCUUCAGGACUGUUGAGGAGACACUGUUUUCAGUCAUUUUGCCUAAAUGUUUAUCACCAGGAGCUGUUUUAAUAAUUAUGGAAUUGUUAAAUGAAGGACAUAUGUUUCUUGACCUAGAAAAUACUGCAGUUGAAAUCAAGUUUUCUUUUUGUGUUUAAAGCUAGGAAAACCUUGAAUUUCUGUGCUUUCUUCAGAUCUGUAGUUAGCCAAGUGUUUGUCUUAAGUCUAAUAAAGUAUGGACUCUUUGCAGGAAUGAAUUCCUCACCACAGGCAUCUCUAGUUGCUUCCAGUCUUUUUAUUUGCAAUAUUCAAUCUGUUUCUAAUAAAUUAAUUAUUUUCCUUAUCUGUGACGUGGAACCAAUCCUUCUAAUUACAUAAGUAAUUUUUUUCGUGUAUAUAUUACUUAGUGUUCUU